GCUUACGGCCAUACCACCCUGAGCACGCCCGAUCUCGUCUGAUCUCGGAGGCUAAGCAGGGUCGGGCCUGGUUAGGACUUGGAUGGGAGACCGCCUGGGAAUACAAGGUGCUCUAAGCU
rnacentral:rRNA from 1 species